GUCUUAAUAGUAUAAAUAAUUACUCUGGUCUUGUAAACCAGAAAUGAAGAACUCAUCUUCUUAAGACA
rnacentral:tRNA from 1 species